AGAUGCGGUUCAUGAGGUUCCCACCGGGACAAAGCUCCAUCACCAGGUUCUUGGUAACAUAUGAGUCCUUCUUGGCCUUCCUCUUGUCGAUCACCUUCACCGCCACCUGAAAAAAAAAUGCAGGAGGAGAGAGGAGGACUGAGUUCAAGAGCAUGGCUACCACGCACAACAAAUCAUCUCAAGGAGAGCCCACAGACAUGGAAAGGCAUGACAAGUGAACCUAAUCACCAUAUCCAUUAAUGAAAUGGUGAGGGCCAAAGUGGUAGCGUGUGCGUGUGUGUGUGUUUUCUCUUUCUUCUGACCUUCAGCUUGUCUUUCAUUUUUACUUUCAUCCUUUCAGGACUGGUAAUUGAUUCAGCGCUGAAAACCUUUUUACAACUGCUAAUUAAACCUGCCUGUAUGUGCAUGCAUGUGUGUGUGUGCAGUGUUCUGUCACGAUAAUAGAUGGCCUGUGUCUACACAAUGUAGCAUGGAUAAGGGUGCGGGGUAUGUAUGGGGUGGGGUGGGCACUGUAUUUACAGUUGGCUACUCUAUACGAGGAGGGGGUGGGAUAUAGAGGGGGAGGGGUGUGCGCUCUUGCCUGGGGGCUAUUGAGGGAUUCAGUUGUUUAUCAUCAGGCACCCCUCAGACAGAAAGGGGGUGGGGGGGUAUGGAGGAGAAAGUGGGUUACAGACAUAAAAAACACACACAUAUGACCUCCUGAGCCGCCUGCCCAUGACAGCCCCAUCUCUUACCUCUGCUCACCCCCACACCCCUUUUCUGCUUUUUAAAUUCCAUGCAUUUACUCUGACUUUCUAGUAAUGUAAAAAAACAUAAAAGUGAGGGUGGGGGGAUCUGGGAAUCCUCCUGUAUUUCCUUUUCACCCCCAUGUGCUUGAAUAAACUCAAUACCCUCCUG